GACGAACCGUGCGACCGUUGUUCGGAAUCACUGGGCUUAAAGGGCGCGUAGGCGGGCUAUCAAGUCCGGGGUGAAAUCCUCCCGCUCAACGGGAGAACGGCCUCGGAUACUGAUGGUCUCGAGGAGGAUAGGGGCACACGGAACUGUGGGUGGAGCGGUGAAAUGCGUUGAUAUCCAUAGGAACUCCGGUGGCGAAAGCGGUGUGCUGGAUCCUUUCUGACGCUGAGGCGCGAAAGCCAGGGGAGCAAACGGG
rnacentral:rRNA from 1 species